CAGAGGUGGGCCAAUGGGAUGACAUGUAAAAGCACUUCCUGCCACACCUUAGGCUCUGAGUUACACCACUGGCACCCACCUAGAAGGUAGAAGGAAAGAUCCUACGCCUAAAGGCUACACUCCACAUAUACACAGUACCAAUGGCUGCGCAACAGCUCGUUUUCGUC